rnacentral:rRNA from 1 species
UAAGGAAUCUUCCACAAUGGACGAAAGUCUGAUGGAGCAACACCGCGUGUAGGAUGAAGGCUUUCGGGUUGUAAACUACUUUUCUGAUUGAAGAUUAUGACGGUAAAUCAGGAAUAAGGACCGGCUAACUACGUGCCAGCAGCCGCGGUAAUACGUAGGGUCCAAGCGUUAUCCGGAAUCACUGGGCGUAAAGCGUGCGCAGGCGGUCUGUUAAGUGAGAUGUUAAAUCGUGUGGCUCAACCAUAUCGAUGCAUCUCAUACUGGCAGACUAGAGGAAGGCAGAGGCAAGUGGAAUUGGUAGUGUAGCAGUGAAAUGCGUAGAUAUUACCAGGAACACCAAUGGCGAAGGCAGCUUGCUGGGCCUUAUCUGACGCUCAGGCACGAAAGCGUGGGGAGCGAACAG